GUGAGCAGUGUGGGGGCGAGCGAAUCCAGUGAGAGUGGCGGGAGGAUGGCUGGGUUGGCAGCGCUGCAUGGCGCCGCUCUCCGUCUCCGCGCCCGGCGCGGCGAGCACCAGCAGCUUCUGGGGCAACCGGUUCACCAUCACCACCUACUCCGCACCGCAGCCUGGGGUCGGUUCCUUCCUGCUCUCCAAUUCCGUUCUGGUUUGCUGCUCUGAUGGUUUGCUAAUAGCUGUUCAGGACAGCGUUGCAAAGCGCGUUUUGGAUGGGAUUGUCUGUAUCGAUUGGAUGCAAUGAAACGGAAAAUUAACAACAUUUCUGCGUUGUUAUUAAUUGCGCAUUUCCAAGGCUGACAAACCAGGCUUACUGGUAUGGCUUUAUUUAGGAUGCAGCUUAGAUGCAGCGAGUUUCCAUUUCGUCUAGCAUUUUUUUUAAUCUCGUUGUUAUAUAGAAGAUUAAAUGGUAAGGUUUGAGUAGACCAACCUAACAAACUAAUUGACUGAAAAAUCAAUUCAAACGUAAGAAAAUUUCCUUUGUCA